AUACCUUUCCUGGCCUUUUGGCUAAGAUAAGUGUAGUAUCUGUUUUUACUAGUUUAAUAUCUGAUAUGUGAGGCACUGCCUCACAAUGAUAUUAAAUUUAUUUUUGUGGGGAAGGAUUCGCUAUAGUGGCAAGGCUUGGCACUGGAAUCCUUGGUGUCGCCUUUGCAUUAAAGCCUAGAGUCGAUGGAUCUCGA
rnacentral:snRNA from 1 species